rnacentral:rRNA from 1 species
GAUGAACGCUAGCUACAGGCUUAACACAUGCAAGUCGAGGGGCAGCAUGGUCUUAGCUUGCUAAGGCCGAUGGCGACCGGCGCACGGGUGAGUAACACGUAUCCAACCUGCCGUCUACUCUUGGACAGCCUUCUGAAAGGAAGAUUAAUACAAGAUGGCAUCAUGAGUCCGCAUGUUCACAUGAUUAAAGGUAUUCCGGUAGACGAUGGGGAUGCGUUCCAUUAGAUAGUAGGCGGGGUAACGGCCCACCAAACCGACGAUGGAUAGGGGUUCUGAGAGGAAGGUCCCCCACAUUGGUACUGAGACACGGACCAAACUACCUACGGGAGGCAGCAGUGAGGAAUAAUUGGUCAAUGGCCGAGAGGCUGAACCAGCCAAGUCGCGUGAAGGAAGAAGGAUCUAUGG